UAAUUACAUGUAAAUAUCUGGCCAUACCUGUUUCCUCUGCACCUGUCGAGAGGAUAUUUAGUGUUGCAGGCAAGAUAUUCAGACCAGAACGAUGCUGCCUCAGUGACAAAACGUUUGAGGAACUGUUGACCAUUAGAUGCAACAAUGUUACCCUGUAAAAUACUUUAAUAAUGAUA